rnacentral:rRNA from 1 species
GAUGAACGUUGGCGGCGUGCUUAACACAUGCAAGUCGAACGGUGAACGAGGGAGCUUGCUCCCUCCGGAUCAGUGGCGAACGGGUGAGUAACACGUGAGUAACCUGCCCUUGACUCUGGGAUAAGCGUUGGAAACGACGUCUAAUACCGGAUACGACGCGCGAAGGCAUCUUCUGCGCGUGGAAAGAAUUUCGGUCAAGGAUGGACUCGCGGCCUAUCAGCUAGUUGGUGAGGUAACGGCUCACCAAGGCGACGACGGGUAGCCGGCCUGAGAGGAUGAUCAGCCACACUGGAACUGAGACACGGUCCAGACUUCUACGGAAGGCAGCAGUAGGGAAUUUUCCACAAUGGGGGCAACCCUGAUGGAGCAACGCCGCGUGCAGGAUGAAUGCCUUAGGGUUGUAAACUGCUUUUAUUUGUGAUGAUUUUGACAGUAACAAAUGAAUAAGGAUCGGCUAACUCCGUGCCAGCCGCCGCCGUAAAAC